rnacentral:rRNA from 1 species
CCGCCGCGCGCGGCGGGCCUACGGGAGGCAGCAGUGGGGAAUAUUGCACAAUGGGCGCAAGCCUGAUGCAGCCAUGCCGCGUGUAUGAAGAAGGCCUUCGGGUUGUAAAGUACUCUCAGCGGGGAGGAAGGCGUUGAGGUUAAUAACCUCAGCGAUUGACGUUACCCGCAGAAGAAGCACCGGCUAACUCCGUGCCAGCAGCCGCGGUAAUA